GACUUUGAAGCUGAUUCAGUGCCCAUGCAGCGUAGCCUAGGUCUCCUCUGGGACCUAAGUAAAGACUGCUUCACCUUUGAAGUAUCUGAUGAGUCAAAGCCCUUUACUAGGCGAGGUGUUCUAUCAACAAUAAACAGCCUCUAUGAUCCGCUGGGCUUUGUAGCACCAGUCACCAUACAGGGAAAGUCAAUUCUUCGUGAACUUACAGCUGAAAAUGGGGACUGGGAUGCUCCACUGCCUCCUGAAAUGGAAGAGUCCUGGACACAGUGGAAAGACUCACUCAAAGACUUGUCUAACAUGAUCAUUCCUAGGGCAUACACAGACAUUUCACCUUCAACAGCUGUGAAAAAAGAGUUGUGUGUUUUUUCAGACGCAUCUACCAAAGCCAUAGCCGCAGUGGCCUAUUUAAAAGUGACAGAUGCAGAAGGACACAGUCAAGUAGGCUUCGUAAUGGGUAAGGCUAAGCUAGCACCACGCCCAGAUCAGACUAUUCCAAGAUUAGAGCUUAGUGCUGCCGUUUUAGCGGUUGAGCUCGCAGAUCUUAUCUCAGAUGAACUUGACUGUAAACUAGAUCACACUACCUUCUACACAGACAGUAAAGUAGUCCUAGGUUACAUCUACAACGAGUCUAGAAGAUUUUAUGUCUAUGUCAGUAAUCGUGUGACUAGAAUCCGCAGAUCUUCUCAGCCAUGCCAGUGGCACUAUGUAGCAAGCAGUCAGAACCCUGCGGAUCACGCCACUCGUUCUGUUCCUGCAUACCAGCUGCCACUUAGUAACUGGCUCACUGGUCCUGACCUUUUGCAUCAGAUUCAGAGUUCUCUAAAUGACUCCUAUGACCUUGUAGAGCCCAGCAUGGACUCAGAUGUAAGACCUCAGGUAACUGCACUCAAAACAACAGCCUCAACUAAAGAACUGGGCUCAGACAGAUUCACCAAGUUUUCUACCUGGAAAUCCCUCACACGUGCUCUUUCUAGACUAAUACAUGUCAUCCACAACUUCAAAUCACCACCAAGCAAAGCCAAUCACUGCCAUGGCUGGCAUUACUGUGAAACGGGACUUACUGUGGAUGAGUUAAACCAAGCUCAGAACCUUGUCAUUCGAGCAGUACAGCAGGACGUGUACGCUGAAGAAAUCAAGUGUGUGCAAAAACAUGGAAAACUACCCAAAACCAGUCCUCUCAAAACCUUAGACCCCUAUCUGGACAAAGAAGGACUCCUUAGAGUAGGUGGUCGCAUCAGAGACUCAAACAUUAGCCAAGGUGAGAAGAACCCUCUCAUAGUUCCUGGCCACCACCAUGUUGCAGCGCUUCUCAUAAAGCACUACCACGAGCAGACCCAGCAUCAGGGUCGCCUUUUCACAGAAGGAACCGUUCGCUCCGCAGGAUGGUGGAUAGUGGGCGGUAAAAGAAAAGUGAGCACAAUCAUCCAUCACUGUGUUACCUGCAAAAGACUUCGUGCCCCUUUGAGCACACAAAAAAUGUCAAACCUCCCUCCAGACCGUCUCACAACAGAUCCCCCGUUCACAAAUGUGGGCUUAGAUGUGUUUGGUCCGUGGUUUGUGUCUUCACGACGUACAAGAGGAAGCGUCAAUCAGAAUAAAAGGUGGGCUGUCAUAUUCACUUGUUUGAGUAUUAGAGCAGUUCACAUUGAAGUGGUAGAGUCACUUGAUACAUCUAGCUUCAUUAAUGCAUUCCGACGAUUUCUGGCCAUGAGGGGACCAGUGAAAACUGUUCGCUCUGAUCGAGGCACCAAUUUUGUAAGCGCAUGUAAAGAACUGAAAAUCCCUUCAAACUUGGACAACACAGCUGUGCACACCUUCUUAAAAGAACAUGGAUGUAAAUGGACUUUUAACCCACCUCAUGCCUCCCAUUUCGGCGGAUCGUGGGAAAGAAUGAUAGGUUUAGCACGGAGAAUUUUGGACUCUAUGUUUUUUCAGCUUAAGACCACCAAACUCACUCAUGAGGUUCUCGUCACUUUCAUGGCAGAGGUGGCUGCUAUCAUAAACUCUAGACCCCUUGUCCCGGUUUCAUCAGACCCGAGUGACCCCUUUAUCUUGACUCCAGCUGUUCUCCUGACUCAAAAGUUAGCACCCCUUCAGGCUCCAGCUGAAAAAUUCACAGCAUCAGACCUCUACAAACAUCAGUGGCGCCAGGUUCAGCACCUGUCGAACAUCUUCUGGGGCAAAUGGAGAAGAGAGUUUCUUCCUACCCUCCAGCCACGCCGCAAAUGGCAAUCAAGCCAGCCUAACGUGAGCUUAGGAAGUGUUGUGGUACUCAAAGACAGUCAAGUGCCAAGAAAUGAAUGGCCCCUAGGUCUCAUAACUAAGGUGUUCCCAAGUAAAGAUGGUAAAAUACGUACCGUGGAAAUUAAGGUAGCCAAAUCAGAUGGUACAAAAGUGUUAACCAGACCUAUCUCAGAGAUUGUACCUUUGGUGCCUUCUUAACAUGUUGUUUUCCCCAAUAUUUAAAUGUGGCGUUUAUUCACGCCAGGCGGGGAGUGUUCUGUUAUCACUAAGAGUUGUAAAAUGUUUUAUGACUAAAAUAUUAUUCUCAGUUGUUAUUCAUUAUGUGUUUACAGCGCCCUCUGUGGUUGCUCCAAGUAAUGCACUUUAGAAACGGCUUUAUGUUGAAAAAAAACUUUAUUGAACAGGAAGUCCGCUCAGUCAAGCAAAGCAAGCGAACAAGGAGAAGGGAAACAUAUCGGCACACAGUUUAUGCUGUCCUGUUGGAAAAAAUACUGUCCACAUCUUCUGUUUAUGGUUGUAUCGCCGUUUUACCCUUUUGAAUGUCAGUAAACCUGUUGACAACGAUCAUCGGUCUCCAGAGUGGUGAUAUGAGAAA